AAGGGUGAAAAGGGGAAAACUGCAUAGAAAGACUGGAGAACCUCCCCCUCCGGAUAAAUAACGCCCCGUGUUGUUAAGGACGCCACCUUCUUUGUUGCUCAUGUCGUCACAGCCUACGGUGAGACGAGCGGAGACUGAAGGACCUGGAGCAAGAGGAGUGCGCGAGGUACAGGCCGAGGGAACCUGGGAAAACAGCCUGCAGAAAAACGCUUUGCAGCCGGGCCGACUACAACGCAGUGGCCGGAAGUCUCCUCUCACGUACUUCCGGCCUGCGUCCGGAGGGGAGGGGAGGCCGUCGCCGCUGGCUCCGCCCACCGCGUGGUCCAAGGACCACCACCCGCCACCGCCGCGCGAGCGUACUAUUGCGGCCGCCCUCUGCUGCGCCUGAAGAGAGAGGCGACUCUACAAGCCUCACAGCAUGCACUGUUACUAAAAAGACGAUGCGUCCUCCUGGACCUGAGAUCUGUGUGAUCGUGGGAAAGCGACGAAAAACGAACAAAGGAACAGUAAAUGGAGUAACUUGGCUAGAAUAUGGCAGUAACUACAAGGCAUGUUCUGCUCUGGCACGAAGACAACCCACCUGAGGCACCAGACACAUGAGUGAAGCCAUCUUGGACAUCCCAGUCACAGCCAAACUCACUCCUGAGUGCAUCUGCAUGAUGAACCCAGCAAUCCCCACCAUGGAGCAAAGGAUCCAUCCAGUCAACCCAAAGAAUCGUGAAAAAUAAUAAAUUGUUGUUUUAAAGUUCUUCAGUUUGGGAAUAGCUUGUUAUGCAACAAUACAUAAUUAAUACACUGGUCUCCCACUUUCAAGUUUGAUUAACUUUCAGCUAUUUUUCACAUAGCAGGCAGAGUGAUUCCAUUAAAACAUAUAUCAGAUAAUGUCACUGCACUAAGUAAACUCUACAAGGACUCUCAUCUCCCUCAGAGUAAAGGUCACAGUUGUUACAAGGCCCUACGUAAUGUGGCCCUCACCACCACUCCAUUACCUUUUUCUUAUCUACUAUUUGCUAACUUUGCUUUGUCCUCUUUUCUGUUCUGAAACAGGCUAGGCAUGGUCCUGCCUCAAGGCCUUUGCACCACCUACUCUGUCUGCUUGGAUUGUUCUUCCCACAGAUUUCUUGCUCCCUUCUUCCUUCAUGAAGAAAUGUCAUGAAAUGUCCUUCCUUCAUGAAAUGUCACCUUCUCAUUUGAGGCCUUCUGUAGUACCCCAAAGAAUGGUCCCCAAAGAUGUCCACAUCCUUAUGCCCAGAACCUGUGAAUGUGUUAUCUUAAUGGCAAAAGUGACUUUGCAAAUGUGAUUAUAUUUAAGGAUCUUAAGGAGGAGAUUAUCCUGGAUUAUCCAGGAGGGCCCAAUGUAAUCACAAGGGCCCUUAUAAGUGAAAGGGGGAGGCAACAGAGAGAAGGAGAUGUCAUAAUGAAAACAGAUCCAAGUGAUGAGAUUGCUGGCUGGGGUGGAGGUGGAGGGGGGUACAAUCCAAGGAAUGCAAGAAGCCUCUAAAAGCUAGGAAAUGUCAGGACACAAAUUCUCCCCUAGAACCUGAGGAAGAAACCCAGGUUUAUGGACACUGAUUUUAACCCAAUAAGUCCCUUUUCUGACUGCUGACCUCCAAAACUGUAAGAUAAUAAAUUUGUGUUAUUUUAAGCCAACUGAGUUUGAGAUAAUUUAGUUAUGGCAGCAAUAGGAAACUAGCACACCUUCCUAGCCAUCCUAUCUAAAAUGGCAACCCAUGUCCUUCCUGGCACUUCCUAUCUCCCUUCCAUGUUUUUUUUAAAUCAUAUAUACAAUAUAUUUUACUGUUUUACCUAUUGUCUUUUCCACCAGAAAGUAAACUCCACGUAAAUAAGGAUUGUCUGUUUUAUUCUUUGCAGUAUCUCCACUGCCUAGGAUAGCAUCUGCACAUACUGCACACUCAGUACACAUUUGUCGAAUGAGGUCAGGCGCGGUGGUUCACACCUGUAAUCCCAGCACUUUGGGAGGCCAAGGCGGGUGGAUCACCUUAGGUUAGGAGUUCGAGACCAGCCUGGCCAACAUGGUGAAACCAUGUCUCUACUAAAAAUACAAAAAGUAGUUGGGCAUGGUGGCAUGUGCCUGUAAUCCCAGCUACUUGGGAGGCUGUGGCAGGAGAGUCACUUGAAUCUGGGAGGUGGAGGUUGCAGUGAGCCAAGAUUGUGCCACUCCACUCCAGCCUGGGCAACAGAGUAAGACUCUGGCUCAAAAAAAAAAAAAAAGAAAGAAAGAAAAAAAUACAUAUUUGUUGAAUGAACAAGUGAAUGAACAAAUGUUAUGCAAAUAUAUUAUCCCUAUCUGUAGCUUGCCUUUUAAUUUUGUUAUAGUAACUUUGGUUGAAAGGAAGUUCUAAAAUCUUUAAUAUAAUCAAAUGUAUCAAUCUUUUCAACUUGUAUAUUUUAUGCCUUGUUUAAUCAACUCUGUCUUAUAUCAAAAUUAUAAAAGUAUUACCCUGUAUUUUCUUAUAAAAGUUUUGAAUCUUUUCUUUUUCCACUUAGAUCAUUAAUCAACUUGGAAUUGGUGUUACAUAGUGGUAAAUGAUUGUCCCAGGACCACAUAUUGAAUAUUUUAUCAUUUCUCCACUGAUUUGUAACAACACAGUGGUUAUAUAUCCUGUUUAUACAUGGGUCUGUCUCUAGGUUUCCGGUUCUGUUCCAGUGGUCU
rnacentral:lncRNA from 1 species